rnacentral:rRNA from 1 species
AUGGCGACGGCGGCUGGCGGCGCGCGGCGAGCCCUCGCGGGGCUGCGCUCCCCUUCCCCAUCUACUCUGUCCAGAACGUUUUCCAGGCCGGCAGUUGCCCAGUCCCCGGAGCUGGCAGCCUCCGCUCUGCCGCGCGCCCCGCGCCGGCGCCUCGCGAUCUCGAGGGUGCCGGUGGCGGCGCUGGGCGGCGCGCAGGGGCUGAUGCCGCUGCACAGCGCGACAGCAUCGGCGCUGCUCACCUCCAUGCUCGGGCUUAAGCCCGGGUCUUGGGGUUGGCUCUCCGAAGGUUUUGCAACGCCUCUAUAA